GAUAAAUCAUUGUUUCGCAAGGUUACACGCUGAGAUAAAGUUCAUAAUUGAAAAGUCACGCUAGCUACUUUCUGUAUGCGCGUGUCCCUCGUCUACGUGAUUUCCGAUUCCGAUGAGAUUUUUUAACGAGGGAUCGUUAAAAGGAUUGGAAUGUUCGUUCCAAUCUGGCAAACUAUUAUCUCGAAAGUGGAAGUUUCACGUGCAAGUUGAUGAUUACCUUUCGCGUGCCACUCGUUGAGGUUCGGUGCCGGGUGGAACGUCAGCGGGUCUGUUGCCAGGUCGCCUCAACAUGUAGUCGAAGGUGGCAUUGAACGGAAGAC